rnacentral:tRNA from 1 species
GGAUAUAGCUCAGUUGGUAGACUGCUUGCUUUGCAUGCAAAGGCCCUGGGUUCAAUCUCCAGCACCA